AUGGGACCAAAGAAUCUAACUCGUGUUUUGGAAUUCUUCCUCCUCCACUUCUUAGAUGACUUGGAACUGCAGCCUUUCCUCUUCAGGCUGUCCCUGAACCAUGCACCUAGUCACAGUGCUUGCGAACUUGCUCACAUCCUUCUGACUGUCAGCUUUGCCCUCACCUCCACAACCCCAUGACUUCAACCUGUCCUUAGCUGACAUUGGUUUCACCCCUGCCACAAUUUCAAAGAUAACUGUAGACCUCCAAACUCACAGCAGAAUCAUUUUAUACAUGAGCUGCCUGAAAUAGAUGUCUUUUAAAAUUAUUUUUGGAUGUUUGCACAAUCUACUCAUGACUGUGAUGGCCUAUGACCCAUUUGUGGCGACCUGUCAUCUCUUGUACUACACAGUGAUCAGGAAUCCCCACCUCUGUGGCCUCCUGCUUCUGGUCUCUCUCUCUCUUUUUUUUUUUUGAUCAGUCUUUUGGAAACCCAGCUGUACAGUUUGAUGGUGUCACAAGUUCUCUCAUGCAAAUGUAGACAUUCCUCAUUUCUUCUGUGACCCUUCUCAGUUUCUCCACCUUUCCUGUUCUGACACUGCCACCAAUAACACAUUAAUGCAUUUUAUUGGUGCCAUCUCUGUGGUCCAUUCUCAGGGAUCCUUUACUGUUAUACUCAAAUUAUGUUCUCCAUACUCAUAACCCUAUAAAAUGUGGGAAGUAUAAAGCAAACCUUCUCCACCCAUCGCUCUCACCUGUCAGUUGUUUGCUUAUUUUAUGGAACAGGCCUUGGAGUAUACCUUAGUUUGGCUGGCUCACCUUCCCCAAGAACAGGUGUGGUGGCCUCAAUGGUAUAUACCACAGUCACCCUCAUGUUGAACCCUGCAUUCACAGCCUGAGGAACAGAGACAUCAAGAAUACCUGGUGGUGGCUCCUCAGCAUAACU
rnacentral:lncRNA from 1 species